AGUUAUUAAACUUAUUUAUCAAGAUUAGUAUUGAAGAGUUGCAUCUAUUAGUAUUAAAGAGUCAUAACUAUUAGUAUUGAAGAGUUGCAUCUAUUAGUAUUAAAGAGUCAUAACUAUUAGUAUUGAAGAGUUGCAUCUAUUAGUAUUAAAGAGUCAUAACUAUUAGUAUUGAAGAGUUACAUGUAUUAGUAUUGAAGAGUCACAACUAUUAAUGUCUAUAUAUUGUAUGAAUCUCAUAAUGAAAAAGGGGUGAGAGUACCAUUUUCAUAUGUAUUGUAUUCUACCAAAUUAGAGAGUGUGCAACCUAAAUCCUUUUCAA